rnacentral:rRNA from 1 species
GGAGUGCUUCUGAACCCCGCCUUUUUUCCGUUAGGAAAGAGGAAUUUAUUUCAAUUCAUCGGCCUCAGAUUGGUAGGACUACCCGCUGAACUUAAGCAUAUCAAUAAGCGGAGGAAAAGAAACUAACAAGGAUUCCCCUAGUAACGGCGAGUGAAGAGGGAAGAGCCCAAGAUUGAAAGCUGGCGUCUUCGGCGUCCGCAUUGUAAUCUCAAGAAGUGUUUUCCGCUUCGGACCAUGCCUAAGUCCCUUGGAAAAGGGCAUCAUAGAGGGUGAUAAUCCCGUACAUGGCAUGGAGCGCCCGAAGCUUUGUGAUACGCUUUCUAAGAGUCGAGUUGUUUGGGAAUGCAGCUCAAAAUGGGUGGUAAAUGCCAUCUAAGGCUAAAUAUUGGGGAGAGACCGAUAGCGAACAAGUACAGUGAUGGAAAGAUGAAAAGAACUUUGAAAAGAGAGUUAAACAGUACGUGAAAUUGCCAAAAGGGAAGGGUAGGAGGUCAGAGAUGCGUCUUGGGAUUCAGCCUUGCUUUUUGCAUGGUGUUUUUCCCAAGUUGCAGGCCAACGUCGGUUUUGGGCACUGGAGAAGGGUGGAAGGAACGUGGCACCUCUCGGGGUGUGUUAUAGCCUUCUACUGGAUACAGCGACCGAGACCGAGGACAGCAGCGUACUCGCAAGAGCGGGCCUUCGG